AUUGCCUUAGUAACGGCGAGUGAACAGGCAAGAGCUCAGAUUUGAAAGCCUUUCGGGGCAUUGUAUUCUGAAGCCUUGAUUCUGAGAACCGGUACCUAAGUCUUCUGGAAAGGAGCGCCAAGGAGGGUGAUAGCCCCGUACGGUACUGACCUCAUUGUAGAAUCUUGGCGUGGAGUCGAGUUGUUUGGGAAUGCAGCUCAAAUGGGUGGUAUGCUCCAUCUAAAGCUAAAUAUCUGCGAGAGACCGAUAGCGAACAAGUACUGUGAAGGAAAGAUGAAAAGAACUUUGAAAAGAGAGUGAAAAAGUACGUGAAAUUGUUGAAAUGGAAGGAUAGGCCGCUAACCACGUAGAGCCGUGUCUGAGGGGAGGAUAAAAGCUGUAGAAUGUGGCUCUUCGGAGUGUUAUAGC
rnacentral:rRNA from 1 species